rnacentral:pre_miRNA from 1 species
AAUAAAUCAAUCUUUUGCUUUUUACCUAUAAUGUUUGACUCUUGUUCUUAUUUGAAAAAAUACGAUUAAUAUUUUUAUUUUUAUUAGAUGAUAAAUCGUGAAUAGUACUUUACGUGUGACUAAUUUUUUUAUAAUUUCUUAAAAAAUUUUCAAAUAAAACGGAUGGUCAAAUGUUGGACACGAAAACCAAAG